AUAUAAUGGAGUUUCCCUCUGUGCAUUUGGAAGGGCUGUAUAACUUAGUGAACCAACAUUCUCCACUUGAUCAGUGCAUGGUGUUACAAAAUCAUGGGUGGAUUGUAUUUUGGAGAACUAAUUCUGUCAGUUACUAGGAAUCAUCAUUUGCCUUGCCAUGUCUUACUGAAUCUGCUUUCUACAUUGGGGUAGUAGUGACUCUUACAGACCCAGGGACAUCACACUGUGACAACGGAAGCAGAAAUCGCAGUGCUGUCCCUACCAGCCAAGGAACACCAAGGAUGGCCAGCAAAUACCAGAAGCUGGAAAAGGCAAGAAACAGUCCUGCCCUCCAGGUUUUCGUGGGAGCAUGGCCCUGCUGACCCCUGGAUUUGGGACUGACAGCUUCUGGGACUGUGAGGCAGGGAAGUUCUAUUGUUUUAAGCCCCCCAGUUUGUGUACUUUUUAUGGCAAUCCUAGGUGACCCUCGGCUUUCCUCUUUAAUUCAUAUUUUAAAAUUUCCUCUCUAUCUGCCAUUCACCUGUUUCUUUUUGCAUUUUCUUAAUUUCUACCUAGGUCAAAGCUAUGUUGAGAUUUUACUUCUGCCCAGCAACCAUAGGGACUCGAUUAAUGGUGUUGUUUUUAGGAACCCCACUGUCCCAAAGGUGAAAAUUGGUCCCAAAGGUGACAAUUGAUCUCCUAUGUCAUGUACUUGAUGAUAAGAUAGGAACCAAAAACUGCACCGGUAAAAUCUUCCCACCCAUUGUGUCCACCAAAUUUAAAAUUGCUCUGUUAAGGCUGUGGGUUUUGGUCCACCCAGCAUCAAGGAGAAACUAUCACUCGCUCACUCACCUGGCUCCAAUCUCCUACUUCUCCUUGUACCAAUCUCUUUCAUAGUCAUGACUCACUUUGUACUCCCUCUGUAGAUGAAUCUGUGGUCCAGUCACUCAGACCAAUUCUGAAAGAAACCUGAGAAGUUCAGGUCUAUUGCUCUGUGAUGGCGGCUGAAUUCCACACCCUUGGGCUCAUUUUGCACGUUGUACAUUGCAUUCCUUUAUCAAAGUGAAUCUGCUCUACUUGUAGGUCAUUGUCUAAUUGCCUGUCUCCUCCACACAACUGCAAGCAGGACCUGUCUUUCAUCUUUGUUUCCCCGAGGCUUAGCACAGUGAUUGGCACACAGUAGGCCUCCUAGAUAUAUAUAUCCAAUUGAAUGAGAGGAAUGAGGGAAAGGCAGCAUCAAGCCAUCCUUGCUGCUUCCCCCUCUUUUAAUUGGAUGGCUUCAGAUUGUCCAGCUAUCCAGCAUCUACAUGUAAGUAUAGACAAAGGAUUUCCAAAACCACUACAAGAUAAAUUAUGUUCUAGGACACCUGGCUGGCUCAGUCGGAAAAGCAUGCUAUGCUUGAACUUGAGGUCGUGAGUUCAAACCCCACACUGGGUGUAGACAUGACUAAAAAUAAAUCAGUAAACUUAAAAAAAAAAAGAUAAGUUAGGUUCUAGGGAAGUUUCAGAAACUCUGCUGGUAGAACCACAUGAACAAGGGGAUUUAACAUUCCUCUUUACGUUGUUUCAGUGCAAUUAUGUAUGUGUAGGAACUGGGGUUGGUUCAAAGGUUAAAGUGAGGUGAUUGUUCUGAAUUGGCAAUUAUUUAUGUCCUUGUGGACAUAACUAUGGGAUUGGAAUAUU